UACGGGGGGUGCUAACGUUAUCCGGAUUUAUUGGGCGUAAAGGGCCCGUAGGCGGCUUGGUAAGUCGGGGUGUGAAAACCCCAGGCUCAACCUGGGGACGCCACCCGAUACUGCCAUGGCUUGAGUCUGGUAGGGGAGUGCGGAACUCCCGGUGUAGCAGUGAAAUGCGUAGAGAUCGGGAGGAACAUCCAUGGCGAAGGCAGCUACCUGGACCAACACUGACACUGAGGCACGAAAGCGUGGGGAGCAAACAGG
rnacentral:rRNA from 1 species